CGGAGGGUGCGAGCGUUGUUCGGAAUCACUGGGCGUAAAGCGCGUGUAGGCGGCUUCCUAAGUCUGGUGUGAAAUCCCGGGGCUCACCCCCGGAAGUGCACUGGAUACUGGGAAGCUCGAGUACCGGAGAGGAGGGUGGAAUUCCUGGUGUAGCGGUGAAAUGCGUAGAUAUCAGGAGGAACACCUGUGGCGAAGGCGGCCCUCUGGACGGAUACUGACGCUGAGACGCGAAAGCGUGGGGAGCAAACAGGAUUAGAUACCCUGGUAGUCCACGCUGUAAACGAUGGGCACUAGGUGUUCGGGGUAUUGACCCCCUGAGUGCCGCAGCUAACGCAUUAAGUGCCCCGCCUGGGGACUACGGCCGCAAGGCUA
rnacentral:rRNA from 1 species